AUAGCAUUUAGACUCUCGGUCUACCGUGCAAUUUCACCCGCUCGGUGGAAGAUCUUCCCUUUCUCAU
rnacentral:pre_miRNA from 1 species